rnacentral:rRNA from 1 species
GCAAUCGACCAUAGGACUGUGGAAAGCAGGACUUCCCGUUCGCUCAGUCAUACUUAAGCCACAUGCCGACGAGUUAGUAGCAAAGUUGGUGACAAUUUGCGAAUCCUCGUUGUCGAUUGUU